rnacentral:rRNA from 1 species
GACGAACGCUGGCGGCGUGCCUAAUACAUGCAAGUUGAGCGCUGAAGGUUGGUACUUGUACCGACUGGAUGAGCAGCGAACGGGUGAGUAACGCGUGGGGAAUCUGCCUUUGAGCGGGGGACAACAUUUGGAAACGAAUGCUAAUACCGCAUAAAAACUUUAAACACAAGUUUUAAGUUUGAAAGAUGCAAUUGCAUCACUCAAAGAUGAUCCCGCGUUGUAUUAGCUAGUUGGUGAGGUAAAGGCUCACCAAGGCGAUGAUACAUAGCCGACCUGAGAGGGUGAUCGGCAAAAUUGGGACUGAGACACGGCCCAAACUCCAACGGGAGGCAGCAGUAGGGAAUCUUCGGCAAUGGACGAAAGUCUGACCGAGCAACGCCGCGUGAGUGAAGAAGGUUUUCGGAUCGUAAAACUCUGUUGGUAGAGAAGAACGUUGGUGAGAGUGGAAAGCUCAUCAAGUGACGGUAACUACCCAGAAAGGGACGGCUAACUACGUG